UUCCCCGUGCCCUACGCGAUGGGGAGUGCUGGGGGACCAGAGCCGCCCCCGGGGGUGGGGGUCUAGCGAAGCUUGUGUGGUCUAAAAAAAAUUCCACAUUCACCAUGUAUAUAUGUAAUUACUGAUUUUUGCUGAUCUCUACCGUAUUCUCUCUAGGUGCUUCUCUUUUUACCCCCACAGCUGAAGAAAAUAAGAUUCCUAUAACCUUUCCCAUGUGGACUUCUGGUCUGACUUUUCGUCCUGACGCUCCUUCCCGCACGCCUAUAAUUGUGUGGUACCCUUUUGGAGACGGUGGGAGAAGGAUUGCAUGGAAUCGGCAUACGGGACUGCCAUGUGCUGAGUUUCACCACUCCUGACAUUCAUCCUACCCAGUUAGCACACCAUUGGAUAUCUGUUUGGGCUUUUCACCUGUGGAACACAACCAGCUGAAGAUUUCCGUAGCAACAGAAUUCCAUCUAGAGUGUUCAAAUGGAAGCACAGAAGCAUUGGAAGCUGAAAGUUCCUCCUGAUGUUGCAUUCCUGUCCAGGUCUUUCAACAACUGGAACUCUAUUGUCUGGAAGCUCCUACCCUGGUGGCUCAGACAGGGCUUGAUGGUAACAUGAAAAUACUGGCCAAGACUGGGAAGAGAGAAGACUGCCCCUGGUAAUGUAACAAAAAAGUCCAGAGGAAGAGUGAGCCCAUUCUGUUGAAGAAUUAGAAUUACCUAUAAUAAUAUCUAUGUUAGAUCUAGAUAUUAGAUAAUAUCUAAUAUCUAGAUCUAGAUAAUGUAGAUAACUAGAUAAUUAUCUAAUUAUCUAUAUUAGAAUGAGAAACUCAGCCCUGCAAGAUCAGUCUCCAUUUCCUCUGGUCUCUCACAGCAUGCAACACCCUCGAGUGCUGUGUUGCAGGACAACUGUAUGAGGUUCAACAAGACUCAGGGCCAGGUGCUGUACUUGGGUCAUAACAACCCCAGGAAGUGCUACAGGCUGGGGGAAGAGGGGCUGGAAAUGAGCCAGCAGUGCCCAGGUGUCCAAGGCUGAUGCCAUCCUGGCCUGUGUCAGGAGCAGUGUGGCCAGCAGGA
rnacentral:lncRNA from 1 species